GGGCGGAUAGCUCAGCUGGGAGAGCGCAGCCCUUACAAGGCUGAGGUCACAGGUUCGAUCCCUGUUCCGCCUA
rnacentral:tRNA from 1 species